UACCAGCACCCCGAGUGGUCGGGACGUUUAUUGGGCCUAAAGCAUCCGUAGCCGGUUCUACAAGUCUUCCGUUAAAUCCACCUGCUUAACAGAUGGGCUGCGGAGGAUACUAUGGAGCUAGGAGGCGGGAGAGGCAAGCGGUACUCGAUGGGUAGGGGUAAAAUCCGUUGAUCCAUUGAAGACCACCAGUGGCGAAGGCGGCUUGCCAGAACGCGCUCGACGGUGAGGGAUGAAAGCUGGGGGAGCAAACCGG
rnacentral:rRNA from 1 species